GCAAGGUACAAUGGGCGCACGGCGGAUGCCUUGGCAUCGGAAGUCGACGAAGGGCGCGGCAAGCCGCGAUAGGCCCGGGGGAGGCGCAAACGGCCCUAGAUCCCGGGAUUCCCGAAUGGGGGAACCCAGCCGCCGUCAUGGGCGGCUACCGCGUGGGAGACCAUCCCAUGCGGGGACAACCGGGGGAACUGAAACAUCUAAGUACCCCGAGGAGGAGAAAUCAACCGAGAUCGCGCGAGUAGCGGCGAGCGAAAGCGCGCGAGCCCAAACCUGCGACGGCGCCAAGGCUGGGGCCGUUGCCUCGCAGGUGUUGCGGGACGAGAUGCCCCGGGCCCCCAGGCCCGGGCGCGAGUCAGAAAACCGGAUUCGAGCGGAACGGCAUGGGAAGGCCGGCCGCAGCGGGUGAGAGCCCCGUACGCGAAGGGUCCGGACUCGCGAUUCUCGAUCCAGAGUAGGGCCGGGCACGUGAAACCCGGUCCGAAGCAGGGGGGACCACCCUCCAAGGCUGAACACUCUCCGAUGACCGAUAGCGAACCAGUACCGCGAGGGAAAGGUGAAAAGCACCCCGAGAGGGGAGUGAAACAGCGCCUGAAACCGUGCGCCCCCAAGCAGCGGGAGCCGUUCUGACGACGGUGACCGCGUGCCUUUUGUAGAAUGAGCCUGCGAGUCGCGGCAUGCGGCGAGGUUAAGGGACACCGAGCCGCAGCGAAAGCGAGCCUGAACAGGGCGAUUUGAGUCGCAUGCCGCGGACGCGAAGCCGGGUGAGCUAUCCAUGGGCAGGGUGAAGCGGGGGUAAGACCCCGUGGAGGCCCGAACCCACUUCGGUUGAAAACGGAGGGGAUGACCCGUGGAUAGGGGUGAAAGGCCUAUCAAACCCGGAGAUAUCUCGUUCUCCCCGAAACAGCUUUAGGGCUGGCCCCGGGCAUUGACCAUCGGAGGUAGAGCACUGGACCGGCGAGGGGGCCUCACCGCCUACCGACCCAGACCAAACUCCGAAUGCCGAUGGUUUGGACCCCGGGAGUCAGAGCGCGUGGGCUAAGCUGCGCGCUCGAGAGGGAAACAGCCCAGACCGCCCGCCAAGGCCCCAAAGGCCGUGCUAAGUGGCAAAGGAUGUGCGCCCGCCCAGACAACCAGGAUGUUGGCUUAGAAGCAGCCAUGCAUUCAAAGAGUGCGUAACAGCUCACUGGUCGAGUGGGGGCGCGCCGACAAUGCGCGGGGCUCAAGCACGGCGCCGAAGCGGCGGAAUCAUUUAUUUGAUUGGUAGGGGAGCUUUCCAUGCCGGGCGAAGCCGGAGGCGCGAGCCCCGGUGGACGGCAUGGAAGUGAGGAUGCAGGCAUGAGUAGCGAGAGAGCGGCGAGAAACCGCUCCGCCGAAAACCCAAGGUUUCCUGGGCGAGGCUAAUCCCCCCAGGGUCAGCCGGGAGCUAAGGCGAGGCCGCGAGGCGCAGCCGAUGCACGACGGGCAGACAUUCCCGUGCCGGCGCGGGCGCGCUACGACCGAUGGGACGACGGGGAAGGAUACGCGAGCGGGGUUCUGGACGUCCCCGUGAAAGCGCGUAGGGAGGGGCCCAGGGAAAUCCGGUCCCCACACAUCCCGAGACGCGAGACGAGCCUUAUGGCGAAGUCGCGGAUUCCAUGCCUCCUAGAAAAAUCCCUAGGCAGCGCCCACGCCGCCCGUACCAAAACCGACACAGGUGGGUAGGAAGAGCAUUCCGAGGCGAUCGGGGCAACCAUGGUCAAGGAACUCGGCAUAAUCGUCCCGUAACUUAGGGAGAAGGGACGCCCCCCAGCGUGUACCGGCUCGCCCGGGAAGCGCCGGGGGGCCGCAGCGAAAGGGCCCAAGCGACUGUUUACCAAAAACACAGGACUCUGCCAAGCCGCGAGGCGAAGUAUAGGGUCUGACGCCUGCCCGGUGCCGGAAGGUCACGGGGAUCCGUUAGCCUUUGGCGAAGCGGUGAACCCAAGCCCCGGUAAACGGCGGCCGUAACUAUAACGGUCCUAAGGUAGCGAAAUUCCUUGUCGGGUAAGUUCCGACCUGCACGAACGGCGCAACGACUUGGGCGCUGUCUCGACCAUGGGCCCGGCGAAAUUGCAUUAUCCGUGAAGAUGCGGAUUCCCCGCGGAAGGACGGAAAGACCCCGUGAACCUUUACUGCAGCU
rnacentral:rRNA from 1 species